rnacentral:rRNA from 1 species
UACGUAGGGGGCGAGCGUUGUCCGGAUUUAUUGGGCGUAAAGAGCUCGUAGGCGGUUGGGCAAGUCGGGUGUGAAAAUUCCGAGCUCAACUCGGAGACGCCACUCGAUACUGCCCUGACUAGAGUUCGGUAGGGGAGCAUGGAAUUCCCGGUGUAGCGGUGAAAUGCGCAGAUAUCGGGAGGAACACCAGUGGCGAAGGCGGUGCUCUGGGCCGAAACUGACGCUGAGGAGCGAAAGCGUGGGGAGCAAACAGG